rnacentral:tRNA from 1 species
UGGGGCGUCGCCAAGCGGUAAGGCAGCGGCCUUUGGAGCCGCCAUGCGUAGGUUCGAAUCCUACCGCCCCAGC